UUUAUGGAGAGUUUGAUCCUGGCUCAGGAUGAACGCUGGCGGCGUGCCUAAUACAUGCAAGUCGAGCGAACGGACGAGAAGCUUGCUUCUCUGAUGUUAGCGGCGGACGGGUGAGUAACACGUGGAUAACCUACCUAUAAGACUGGGAUAACUUCGGGAAACCGUAGCUAAUACCGGAUAAUAUUUUGAACCGCAUGGUUCAAAAGUGAAAGACGGUCUUGCUGUCACUUAUAGAUGGAUCCGCGCUGCAUUAGCUAGUUGGUAAGGUAACGGCUUACCAAGGCAACGAUGCAUAGCCGACCUGAGAGGGUGAUCGGCCACACUGGAACUGAGACACGGUCCAGACUCCUACGGGAGGCAGCAGUAGGGAAUCUUCCGCAAUGGGCGAAAGCCUGACGGAGCAACGCCGCGUGAGUGAUGAAGGUCUUCGGAUCGUAAAACUCUGUUAUUAGGGAAGAACAUAUGUGUAAGUAACUGUGCACAUCUUGACGGUACCUAAUCAGAAAGCCACGGCUAACUACGUGCCAGCAGCCGCGGUAAUACGUAGGUGGCAAGCGUUAUCCGGAAUUAUUGGGCGUAAAGCGCGCGUAGGCGGUUUUUUAAGUCUGAUGUGAAAGCCCACGGCUCAACCGUGGAGGGUCAUUGGAAACUGGAAAACUUGAGUGCAGAAGAGGAAAGUGGAAUUCCAUGUGUAGCGGUGAAAUGCGCAGAGAUAUGGAGGAACACCAGUGGCGAAGGCGACUUUCUGGUCUGUAACUGACGCUGAUGUGCGAAAGCGUGGGGAUCAAACAGGAUUAGAUACCCUGGUAGUCCACGCCGUAAACGAUGAGUGCUAAGUGUUAGGGGGUUUCCGCCCCUUAGUGCUGCAGCUAACGCAUUAAGCACUCCGCCUGGGGAGUACGACCGCAAGGUUGAAACUCAAAGGAAUUGACGGGGACCCGCACAAGCGGUGGAGCAUGUGGUUUAAUUCGAAGCAACGCGAAGAACCUUACCAAAUCUUGACAUCCUUUGACAACUCUAGAGAUAGAGCCUUCCCCUUCGGGGGACAAAGUGACAGGUGGUGCAUGGUUGUCGUCAGCUCGUGUCGUGAGAUGUUGGGUUAAGUCCCGCAACGAGCGCAACCCUUAAGCUUAGUUGCCAUCAUUAAGUUGGGCACUCUAAGUUGACUGCCGGUGACAAACCGGAGGAAGGUGGGGAUGACGUCAAAUC
rnacentral:rRNA from 1 species